AUGGCUAAAGAUACAAUUUAUCUAUGCAAUUUUCGAGUUUCUGUUGAUGGUGAAUGGCUUUGCCUUAGGGAACUGACUGAUGUCCAGUUUGAUUUAACUCAACCACCUCCUCCUGAAAAGCCUUAUGAAGUCAAAGAAGAAAGAGAUCCUGUUUCAAUAGAGAGGUCAAACCUUCUUAAUGUGAUAAAGCUGGUUAUUAAAGAACUCAUUGAAUCAUCUUUAAAAUAUGGUCGUCAACUUGAUUCUGAUCAUGUUCCUCUUCAGCACUUUUUUAUUCUAUUAGAACAUGCUAUGAGGCAUGGUUUAAAACCUAAAAAAGGUCUGUUGGGUCCAAAAAAAGAAUUGUGGAAUGUCUUGGAAACUGUAGAAAAAUACAUGCCUGAAGCUUCUGACAUAACAUCAAGUGUAAGAGAACUUCCUACUGUAAAAACUCAUUUGGGAAGAGCAAGAGCAUGGUUGAGGUUAGCUUUAAUGCAAAAGAAACUUGCAGAUUACUUUCGAAGGCUAAUUGAUAGAAAGGAUGAAAUUUUAAGGGACUUUUAUGAAAGAGAUGCUUUAAUGAUGUCUGAAGAAGCUGUAAUUGUUGGUGGCCUUCUUGUAGGACUAAAUGUUAUAGACUGUAAUUUAUGUGUGAAGGAAGAAGAUUUAGAUUAUCAGCAAGGUGUCAUUGACUUCAGUUUGUAUUUGAGGGAAUCAAAUGGCGAAGUACAAGUACCAGAAGGGGUUGAUACAAAUAAUUUUACUGCUGUCUUGGAUCAAAAAAAUUAUAUUGAAGAACUGAAUCGACACCUUAAUGCUACUGUAACAAAUUUACAACAAAAAGUAGAACAACUACAGACAACUAAUGCCUUGAUGAAAGAAGAUUUAGCUAUAUCAAAGAAUCAAAUAAUAACAUUACAAGAUGAAAAUGCUCAGCUUCGUAAACUGUGUGAUCAACUAACAUUAGAAAAUAAAAAGAAACUCGAAGAAGUUAAAGUAGAUAUGAUUGCAGAGAGGGAAACAUACCAGACAACUCAAGUUGGUCUUGAUUCUAUGUAUACAGAUAUUAAAAAUCAGCUUCAAGAGGAAAUUUCCAAAAGGCAGGUUGGUUUUACAUGGAAUGAUCCAAUGCUAACUUCUCUACAGGAGCUAGAAGUUGAAUGUGAACUACAAAGGACUUUGAGAGAUGAAGCAGAAGUAGCCAUGAAACUUCUGGAGAAAGAUAUACAUGAAAAACAGGACACCAUUCUGUCAAUGAGAAGACAACUAGAGGAUAUUAAAGCUAUAAAUCUGCAACUUUAUAACAAGUUACAGGAAUGUGAGAAAGCUCUAAAGACAAAAUCUGAAUAUGCCUCUGAAUUGGAAGCAAAAGUUGUUGAACUGAACAAAUCUCUUCAUGAGCUGGAGGAUAAGAGUUAUGAUCUGGUGAUUCUCAAAAGUAAAAAUGAGGAGCUAGUCAGGAAGUUUGGUGCUCAGUUAGCCGAAAAAGAUCAAAUUAGGUCAGGCUUGGAGUCAGAUCUAAGAAUCGAAAGAGAACUACGUACAUCUUUGCAGUCUACUGUUGAUGGGUAUGAAAAACAGAUAACUAAUCUCAAAGAUACUGUAAAGAAACUACAAAUCAUGGCACAAGAAUAUGAAAAGUUGAAAAUUAAUCAUUCACAACUGCAGAAGUUACACGAUGAACACGAAAGAACAUUAGAAGAAAUGGGAACUCAGUUAAAAGAAUCAAAACUAAAAAUAGAAGAUAUGAAGGAAAAUCAAAUGGCUCUGAAGGAAGCAGUCUGGACUCAUGAUAAACAAGCAACAAUAUGUAGACAAUGUAAUAAAGCUUUUUCAGUAGCAAGGCGAAAGAGGCGUAGCUAGGAUUUUCAGCGCCCGAGGACAACUGGAGAUUUUGCACCCCUUUCUGUUUGCCACGAAUGGAAAACACUUUAUUCUAAAAUUUCGUACCAUCAAUUUGGCACCCCCUGGAUGCUGCGCCCGGGAACAGAUGCCUCCCUUGCCUCACCCUAGCUAUGCCACUGUUCAAUCAUCAUUGUAGGCAUUGUGGUGACAUAUUUUGCAAUGCAUGUUCAGAUAACACUAUGCCUCUACCAUCUUCAGCAAAACCAGUCAGAGUUUGUGACGUAUGUUAUACCCUUCUACUGCAGC
rnacentral:misc_RNA from 1 species